rnacentral:sRNA from 1 species
UGACCAAGUGGAAUAUUUUGUUCUCCAAAAGAGAAUGAACUCCUGUCGGAACGCUUGGUUAGGUACUAAAUCAAAUAAACUUGAAUCUGUUAAAUUCGAAAGAUAUUAUACUUAGCUCAAGCUUCCGACGGUACAUAAUGAAAGGCAGUUAAUACCUCACGGUUACAUGAAUGAGGUGACAUGAUGCUCGCAAGGCUGAUUGUUUUUAUCGCAGAGUGAAUUUAGAUUUCUAGCGGAAUCGAACGGGUCGCAAGCUCGGAAGGAUCGAAAUGAUAGAGUAAUUAUGUAUGACAGGUCUACCGCAUGACCUUAUAAAAUGCACUGAUGAUAGGAUACUUGGGAGACUAAGUGGAUACGCCCUAAGGACAAGAGUCCAUACGGGUAGUAAAAGACCUAUUAUCGUUAGCCAUAAUCUCAGGCU